ensembl:lncRNA
CUCCAGGGAACAGACCCAUGUUUCCUUUGCAUGGAAAGCAGAGCGUGACUAAUGGUCUGCAAGGCUCUCACCUGAAAAGGCACUGGCUUGUAACACUAGGGCACACCCCAAAUCUGAAAAGUUCUGUGCAGCACCUCCAGAAUAAUGCAACAGACUGUAAAGAGAAACUGCUGUGGGUUAUUUUAUUCUUUACAAAAUACAACAUUUUUAAAAUACAUUGAAAUACCAGCAUUUCUUCAAACAGAUUCACUCAACACGCAGAGCAACAGUUUUAGCUAUGCAUUAAGUGCCUUUCUUCCAAGAGCUGCAAAGCACAGCUGGAAAAUACGUCAAUCAUAUAGACAAAGAACGUAAGUCACACAUUAAAUAGCUUCGGUAGACUGAAAAUGGCUGUAAAUUCAAAGACAGUAUUUUAGACAUCUGAGUUAGCACUUCCUUAUUAAUAAAAAGUUAUUUUUAUAUGCUCUUCAACAUCUGUUCCAUAUAUUCUUCAUAGAAGUGUUACUUUUCUCUUCCAACACAAGGGGCUCCUUGAAGGUCUGAAGCAAAAUUUGAUGUCUCUUCAGCUCUUAUGCAAAGCUAAUUUUGUAAGGAAUGAAUGUGAUGCUGAACACUGAUAUGCACUGAAAUACCACAUAAAUUUGGGACACACAGACUUUUGUGGUACAAAAUUAACCCUGAUUGUGUGUACUACUGCUGAACACUGAAAGUCACGCAGGGAACAAUAACGCUGAAAAGCCAGUAUAGAAACUGAAGUUGCUUUUUGCAUUAGACUUGAAAAAUGACAUACAAUUUUUGCUGAUAUCAGUCCAGACAGAAGGUGCUGCACAUACUGUCCUGCUUGCUUUCCUGGGAAGUACAUGGCAGUUCCAUGCAAAACUGCAACAGAACUCACGAUUCAAAGUGCUUAAUCCUAAUGCAGAGCUCACGUAAAAUACAGAUAAUCCUACAGCUAAAUUGGAACAGAAAAAGAACUAGUAGUUGGAAUAACAAGCUUGUGCAAAGAGUUUUUAAGAUAGCAAUUCAAUUGAGUUUCCUUGUUUCAGAAUCCUGUCUUUGGGUCUAACUGAAAUCUUGUGAGCAGAUGCUGCCUUAUCCCAUGGAAUUGCAGGCUGUAUUUAACUGCUGAAACGACCAAGAACCGUAACAACGUUCAGCACAGAACAAGCCUAUCACCACCAGAGGCCACUGCUGCUCUUCGCGUUUUUUCUGUGUGCAGCUGGGCUCCUAGCAAGCAGAAAGCUGCAGGGAGCCCCAGACAGAAGAAGAAAUUUUCCAAAUGCACUUAUCCAGUCUCAGCCUUCAGGAAGAAAUGAAAACUCGCAUUCCAAAAUCCUGAUUUCUCUCCUUGAUAUGAUUAAAUUUGGUAGCUAAAGGCAAGUGUUCAGAUGUAAUUUAAUGAGAUAUUUGAAAAGCAUUUAAUUAAUUGCUGACAAAAACCAGCUCCAUACAUUUCCAGCAGAAGAUGAUAAAAAUUAUCAAUACUUGAUGAUGAAAAAAACCCAGUAAAUAAAACCUUGUUGCUAUAAGUUACAGGUAUCAGUACUUUGCCUGCUAUUUAAUUUUGAUCAAUAAAUGGAAGUACACAUUUAAUUCUAUUUCCUGAGAAAUACUGAAAUAGAGAAAAUGAUAUAAAAGCAUUAAGUGAUAAAGGCAGGGAGACUGAAUUUGCUUGAUCAACUAGGCCCACGCAAUAUCAAAUGCAUUUUAAUAGAGGCCGCUGAAACACUACACGGGCUGAAAUAAAGAAACUGGCCAUAUGUUGGCCAUAUGGGGUAGGGGGAGGAAAAGAAGGAUAUCCUAGAAUGCAAGGAGAAGAAUUUGAGCAUCUCAACAGCUGAGCAACUCAGUGAUUCCGGGCAAAAGCCAGUCUUGAAUCUACUAUUGGGCAAAAGACUGCGUAGCCUUAAACUAAAAUUCAUUUUAUCACUGCAGGCAGCAUCCUCAUAGCAGUUCCGUUUAUACAGAGAUCACAGGAUAGUUUGGGUUGGAAGGGCCCUCAAAGCCCACCCAGCCCCAUCCCCUGCUGUGGGCAGAGCUGCCCCCCGCCAGCUCAGCUGCCCAGGGCCCCAUCCAACCUGGCCUUGAGCGCCUCCAGGGAUGGGGCACCACAGCUUCUCUGGGCAGCUGUGCCAGCGCCUCACCGCCCUCUGAGGGAAAACACACCUUUUCUGAGUACUUGAAAUUAAAAGGCGCAGAAGAAAAACCUAACUCAGAAAGCCUUAGAAUUUGAAACAGGCUAAGCUAUUCAGAUAAUGGAAAAAGCUCAAUGAAGUGACCCUUCAAAAGCAGGCGCUGAAAGCUUUGAAUUUAUUAAGGCACGGUAAAAACGUCAAUUUAAAAAUGGAAGCUUUGUGAAUUCUAACAGGGAACACAGCAGUUCCAUUGGAAGCAGCGAAGGCCACCAAGAGCUAGAACGAUAUAUGGGUGGAAGCAUCUCCUCUUUAAUGGCAUGAACCCACCACAGCCACGCUCCACAGCCCAAACCCGGCCCCGCUCAGAC